GUGCCAGCAGCCGCGGUAAUACGAAGGGGGCUAGCGUUGUUCGGAAUUACUGGGCGUAAAGGGCGCGCAGGCGGUCUUCCAAGUCAGAUGUGAAAGCCCCGGGCUCAACCUGGGAACUGCAUUUGAGACUGGAGGACUCGAGUUCGGGAGAGGAGAGCGGAAUUCCCAGUGUAGAGGUGAAAUUCGUAGAUAUUGGGAAGAACACCGGUGGCGAAGGCGGCUCUCUGGACCGAUACUGACGCUGAGGCGCGAAAGCGUGGGGAGCAAACAGGAUUAGAUACCCUGGUAGUCCACGCCGUAAACGAUGUGCGCUAGACGUUGGCGGACCUAGUCCGUCGGUGUCGCAGCUAACGCGUUAAGCGCACCGCCUGGGGAGUACGGCCGCAAGGUUAAA
rnacentral:rRNA from 1 species